rnacentral:snRNA from 1 species
GGAUGUGAGGGCGAUCUGGCUGCGACAUCUGUCACCCCACUGAUCGCCAGGGUUGAUUCGGCUGAUCUGGCUGGCUAGGCGGGUGUCCCCUUCCUCCCUCACCGCUCCAUGUGCGUCCCUCCCGAAGCUGCGCGCUCGGUCGAAGAGGACGACCAUCCCCGAUAGAGGAGGACCGUUCUUCGGUCAAGGGUAUACGAGUAGCUGCGCUCCCCUGCUAGAACCUCCAAACAAGCUCUCAAAUCUGUUUUCUUUCACUGCCUUAUCGCACUAUUGCCUCCCAGAAAAUAUACUGAAUAAAAUCCAUCUCUUAGGAAUAUUAAAAUU